UAGGGAAUCUUCCGCAAUGGACGCAAGUCUGACGAAGCAACGCCGCGUGAGUGAAGAAGGAUUUCGGUUCGUAAAACUCUGUUGUUAGAGAAGAACAGCGCAUAGAGUAACUGUUAUGCGUGUGACGGUAUCUAACCAGAAAGCCACGGCUAACUACGUGCCAGCAGCCGCGGUAAUACGUAGGUGGCAAGCGUUGUCCGGAUUUAUUGGGCGUAAAGCGAGCGCAGGCGGUCAAUUAAGUCUGAUGUGAAAGCCCCCGGCUCAACCGGGGGGGGUCAUUGGAAACUGGUUGACUUGAGUGCAGAAGAGGAGAGUGGAAUUCCAUGUGUAGCGGUGAAAUGCGUAGAUAUAUGGAGGAACACCAGUGGCGAAGGCGACUCUCUGGUCUGUAACUGACGCUGAGGCUCGAAAGCGUGGGUAGCAAACAGG
rnacentral:rRNA from 1 species